GGUAACAAUGGGGCGGGGCGAGUGGGCGGGGCGAGACUCCCAGCGCUCCCCGGGCAGGCUUCGGAUUUGGGCAACUGUCUCCACCAGCUUUGGAUUUGCUGUUCACACGAGUCCCUGGGCCGCUCCGCCGGCGAUGGACCCUCACCCGUGUCCCCGUCCCCAGCUCCGCUCUCUGCCACGUGCCCUCAUGAGGACAAAGGGGGGGAAAAAAAUCAGCUUUUUGGGGUUAUCACGCGUGAAGUCGCGGAGGAGGGGACUUUCCCAUUCGCUUCUUCCACCGAGAAAUGAAACUGCUCUCGCCUGCAGCCCCGGCAGCUCUGAGCGGACGGUUCAGCAAAAGCUGAGGGAAUCCUUUGCUGUCCCACGGCUCCUGGUCAACGGGCUCGCCGCCUUCCUGAUCGAGCUGGUUCACUUCCUCGGUGAGACCGUGGUCCAGGUGCUGGUGGUCGGUUUGCUGACAGCCAUCAGCGAUCAUAUUUUGAAGCCCUUCUUGGCGGCGACGUUCAACAGCCUCCUGCAACCUCUGCUGCUGUUCCUGUUGAAGGUCCUCUGCGGCAUCCGGGACCUGACGGACCCCCUCAUCGACGUCCUGGCCGCCGUCUGCUCGCAGCUUGCCGUGGUGCUGCGGGCUGUCAGAUUAGUGGAGAUCAACCUACAGCCAGACAGAAGGACGGAUCUCGGUGAUGUUGGCAGCAGCUGAGGCUGGGCCUUGGGAGGCGAAGGAAGAAGGGGAGGAGGAAAAUGCUUAUUUCUGCAAAGAGCAAUGCAAAUUGAGGAAGAGCGGGGCUGUCUGCAGCAUGGGGAGGCAGGCACCGAGAAGGGACAAGCUGGAAGCCACCAAGGCAAAGAAGAACUCUCCAGGGUCAGAUGACCAAGGGCAGCAUGUGAUUGAAAGCCGGAGAUGAGCCGAAACCUUCCGGGCAGCAGGAAAUGUGCCGGUUUUCCAGGAGAGGGAGACCAGACCAACUUUGCCCUUGCUCCUCAGCUAAGAGCACCAGAGCCAGAGGUUAGAAGAGCCACACAGACAUGAGCAGGACCUGGCCUCGUGGACUGGGUCCAGGAUGUCCUGCAGCAACGUCACUGGUGCCAGGACUGUGCCUGGAUGGCCAUGCAUGGGGUCCGAGAGCCCCCAUGGGACACCUGGGGGACACAUGGUUGUCCUCAGGGUAUUUCGAUCCACACAAGGCGCUUGCAUCGGGGCGCAGGCAUGUCCUGGCGACUGUUCCCUGAUAACAGACCUUCCUGCAAGGGAACGAUUAAAAUGAACAAACACAAACCAUGAUUAAGAGGAUGGAAUUAAUUUGAGGUUUCUUGCUUU